CAAGACAAUAAAGGACAAGUACAGGGUAUAGAAACAUUGCAGCAGCAUCAGACGACACUUUAAUAAGUAUCGGUGUAGCAGAAAACCGAGGGAUUUGGUGCUUUCGAAGGGAGUAUGGAGUAGAAGAUGGUUUAAAUCCAGCCCUUCCGCGGUAUACUCUUCAGGAGUAUGGCCCAAGGACAGUGGAGGAAAGCUGCAGUUCUUUUGGUGUUUGUGUUUUUCUUGACAGAAUCUCAAGCCGCUGGCAUUCACUAUCUCUGCGGAGAGCAUCUCGUACAGACGCUCCUUCUGGUGUGUGAAGGCAAAGGUUUCUACUCCAGACCUCACAAGGGCUCAGUACAGAACAACAGCCCUGUACAUCGGUUUGCAGAACGGAAUAGGAGGAAGAUUGGUAUAGUGGAAAAGUGCUGUCAUCAGUCCUGCAGCUUCUAUGACCUCCAGUCCUACUGCAUGACCUGAUUCUUGUCCAUACUGUAUGCCCAAGUAACCUUCCACAUAAGUGAUGUCUGCAUGGAGAUUGAAAAAUAUGUUCCAAUGGCGAAUAAAGAAGCAAUAUAUUACAUGGAUGGCAGAGAGUGAUGGUUGCAUUUUACCACCUGUGUAUAUGGCAUAUAUU